AUUGAACGCUGGCGGCAUGCUUUACACAUGCAAGUCGAACGGUAACAGGCCGCAAGGUGCUGACGAGUGGCGAACGGGUGAGUAAUGCAUCGGAACGUGCCCAGUCGUGGGGGAUAACGCAGCGAAAGCUGCGCUAAUACCGCAUACGAUCUAUGGAUGAAAGCGGGGACCGUAAGGCCUCGCGCGAUUGGAGCGGCCGAUGUCAGAUUAGGUAGUUGGUGGGGUAAAGGCUCACCAAGCCGACGAUCUGUAGCUGGUCUGAGAGGACGACCAGCCACACUGGGACUGAGACACGGCCCAGACUCCUACGGGAGGCAGCAGUGGGGAAUUUUGGACAAUGGGGGCAACUCUGAUCCAGCAAUGCCGCGUGCAGGAAGAAGGCCUCGGGUUGUAAACUGCUUUUUGUACGGAACGAAACGGCUCUGGUUAAUACCCGGGGCUAAUGACGGUACCGUAAGAAUAAGCACCGGCUAACUACGUGCCAGCAGCCGCGGUAAUACGUAGGGUGCGAGCGUUAAUCGGAAUUACUGGGCGUAAAGCGUGCGCAGGCGGUGCUGUAAGACAGGCGUGAAAUCCCGGGCUCAACCUGGGAAUGGCGCUUGUGACUGCAGUGCUGGAGUGCGGCAGAGGGGGAUGGAAUUCCGCGUGUAGCAGUGAAAUGCGUAGAUAUGCGGAGGAACACCGAUGGCGAAGGCAAUCCCCUGGCCUGNACUNACGCUCAUGCACGAAAAGCGUGGGGGAG
rnacentral:rRNA from 1 species